UACGGAGGGUGCGAGCGUUAAUCGGAAUUACUGGGCGUAAAGCGCACGUAGGCGGCUUCCUAAGUCGGAUGUGAAAGCCCUGGGCUUAACCUGGGAAUUGCAUCCGAUACUGGGUGACUAGAGUACGGGAGAGGGAAGUGGAAUUUCCGGUGUAGCGGUGAAAUGCGUAGAUAUCGGAAGGAACACCAGUGGCGAAGGCGACUUCCUGGCCCAGUACUGACGCUGAGGUGCGAAAGCGUGGGGAGCAAACAGG
rnacentral:rRNA from 1 species